rnacentral:rRNA from 1 species
GCACCAACGCCGCGUGUGGGAUGACGGCCUUCGGGUUGUAAACCACUUUUCGGGGGGAAGAGGAAGGACGGUACCCCCGGAAUAAGUCUCGGCUAACUACGUGCCAGCAGCCGCGGUAAAACGUAGGAGGCGAACGUUAUCCGGAUUUACUGGGUGUAAAGCGCGUGCAGGCGGUGUCGUAAGUCGUGUGUGAAAGCGCUCAGGCUCAACCGGGCGAGGCCAUGCGAAACUGCGGCACUAGAGACAGGUAGAGGCGUGUGGAAUUCCGGGUGUAGUGGUGAAAUGCGUAAAUAUCCGGAGGAACACCACUGGCGAAGGCGACACGCUGGGCCUGGUCUGACGCUAAGACGCGAAAGCAUGGGGAGCGAACGGGAUUAGAAACCCCGGUAGUCCAUGCCGUAAACGAUGCAUACUAGAUGUUGCGGUGUAAAAACUGCAGUGUCGAAGCUAACGUGAUAAGUAUGCCACCUGGGGACUACGGCCGCAAGGUUAAAACUCAAAGGAAUUGACGGGGGGG